CUUCAUAGCAACUCUGUUUUGCCUGUGAUUUAAACUCCUUCUGAGGCUAUUGGAGACUGUAUGGGAACUGUUGAAUCACGGCCUGAACCUCUGAUUGACCACCUGAGGAGAGCGCUGAGUCAGCCACAGGGGCACAGGUGAACGCAAUUUCACCUCAGUGACUGGAUGGGGUGGAGCCUGGCUCCAGCCCUCCUAGACCCCAUUUAAGGGCUGACUCCCAAUUAGGAAAGACAUCUAUCUGGAGAUCAUUUUUCUUGGAGCCCUUCUGCAAGCCCAGGACACAGACCAAACAUACAUCUACAACUACAUCUUGCUACCCUUCAACUGUAUUUUCUGAC
rnacentral:lncRNA from 1 species